rnacentral:rRNA from 1 species
CGAACGCUGGCGGCAGGCUUAACACAUGCAAGUCGAACGGGUGUAGCAAUACAUCAGUGGCAGACGGGUGAGUAACACGUGGGAACCUUCCUAGGGGUACGGAACAACUCAGGGAAACUUGAGCUAAUACCGUAUACGUCCGUGAGGAGAAAGAUUUAUCGCCCUUAGACGGGCCCGCGUCGGAUUAGCUAGUUGGUGGGGUAACGGCCUACCAAGGCGACGAUCCGUAGCUGAUCUUAGAGGAUGAUCAGCCACACUGGGACUGAGACACGGCCCAGACUCCUACGGGAGGCAGCAGUGGGGAAUCUUGGACAAUGGGCGCAAGCCUGAUCCAGCCAUGCCGCGUGAGUGAAGAAGGUCUUCGGAUUGUAAAGCUCUUUUGCCAGGGACGAUAAUGACGGUACCUGGAGAAUAAGCCCCGGCAAACUUCGUGCCAGCAGC